CUGCCCUAUCAACUUUCGAGGUAGAUAGAGGCCUACCAUGGUUUCAACGGGUAACGGGGAAUAAGGGUUCGAUUCCGGAGAGGGAGCCUGAGAAACGGCUACCACAUCCAAGGAAGGCAGCAGGCGCGCAAAUUACCCAAUCCCGAACGGGAGGUAGUGACAAUAAAUAACAAUAUGGGGCUCUUUCGGGUCUCAUAAUUGGAAUGAGUACAAUUUAAAUCUCUUAACGAGGAACAAUUGGAGGGCAAGUCUGGUGCCAGCAGCCGCGGUAAUCCACUCCAAUAGCGUAUAUUAAAGUUGUUGCAGUUAAAAAGCUCGUAGUUGAACUUCAGACCUGGCCGGGCGGUCUGCCUAACGGUAUGUACUGUCUGGCUGGGUCUUACCUCUUGGUGAGCCGGCAGCCUUCGCUGGGUGUGUCGGGGAACCAGGACUUUUACCUUGAGAAAAUUAGAGUGUUCAAAGCAGGCCUAUGCCUGAAUACAUUAGCAUGGAAUAAUAAAAUAGGACGUGCGGUUCUAUUUUGUUGGUCUAGAGUCGCCGUAAUGAUUAAUAGGGAUAGUUGGGGGCAUUAGUAUUCAGUUGCUAGAGGUGAAAUUCUUGGAUUUACUGAAGACUAACUACUGCGAAAGCAUUUGCCAAGGAUGUUUUCAUUAAAAGAACGAAGGUUAGGGGAUCGAAAACGAUCAGAUACCGUUGUAGUCUUAACAGUAAACUAUGCCGACUAGGGAUCGGGCGACCUCAAUCUUAUGUGUCGCUCGGCACCUUACGAGAAAUCAAAGUC
rnacentral:rRNA from 1 species